rnacentral:rRNA from 1 species
GACGAACGCUGGCGGCGUGCUUAACACAUGCAAGUCGAACGAAGGGGAGAAAGGGUGAGGAACGCGUAAUCAACCUGCCCGUCAGAGGGGGACAACAGUUGGAAACGACUGCUAAUACCGGAAACGGAAGGAGGGGAUUGCGUCUGAUUAGCUGGUUGGAGGGGUAACGGCCCACCAAGGCGAUGAUCAGUAGCCGGGCUGAGAGGAUGAACUGCCACAUUGGGACUGAUACACGGCCCAGACUCCUACGGGAGGCAGCAGUGGGGAAUCUUCCGCAAUGGACGAAAGUCGGACGGAGCAACGCCGCGUGAGUGAUGACGGCCUUCGGGUUGUAAAGCUCUGUUAAUCGGGACGCGGUACCGGACUCUAAAGCCACGGCUAACUACGUGCCAGCAGCCGCGGUAAUAC